CAGGUGUGUUUCCUCUCUUCCAGGUGUGAGUAAACAGCAGUUUCCACAACGUUUUGCAGUUUUGGAGGAACAUCAUCGUCAUCAUCAUCAAACUUCAUAUGAUUCACAUCCAACACCUGAAACUCCUGCCAGGAACAGUGCUGUGAGUCUUGUGGUCUGUCUCAGUGCAGAACCGACACACACAGGUCUGGUCGUCUCUACAGAACAGCUCCAGGGGUC